CUAAAUCUAAAGACACUUGAGCCGCCAGCAGCAUACCUCCCCUCACUCAGCAGAGGCGAGGACGACGUUGCAGCAGAUUGGACGCUACUUCCCGCCGCCGCUGACGACGCAGCAGAGAUCGACCCCUUCUCUCGCCGCCGUCGCCGACGCAGCAACCGCACGACGCCUCCUCCUGCCGCCGCAACCGAGUCUGCUUUCCGAUUAUUCUAUUAACUCCCGACAACGCAGCAAGAGGCAGUGAAUGAGAGUGCUGGUGACUCAAUAGAUAUACAUUGAUUAUGAGCAUACUCUGUUUUACCAACAAAUAAGUAUGUUGUCAACCAGCAAACUCCAGAGUCGAGAUUGUGUAA